rnacentral:rRNA from 1 species
AAAAGAGUGGGUUUGAUCCUGGCUCGGAAAAAACGCUGGCGAUGGACUUAACACAUGCAAGUCGAAUGGUAUAUGUUUUUUAUAUCAUGGCGAACGGGUGAGUAACACGUAAGAAUCUGCCAAACAGUUGGAGAAAGAAAGAAAUUUCGAAUCUUCAGUAGUAGAUUGCAAUUAAUCGCUGUUUGAUGAGCUUGCGCAGGAUUAGGUAGUUGGUGGGGUAAAGGCUCACCAAGCCGAUGAUCUUUAGCGGGUCUUAGUGGAUGAUCCGCCACACUGGGAUUGAGAGACUGCCCAGACUCCUACGGGAGGCAGCAGUGAGGAAAUUUCGACAAUGAGCGAAAGCUUGAUCGAGUCACAUCGCGUGAGUGAUGAAGGGCAAAUUAGCUCGUAAAACUCUUUCAUUAAGAACGGAGUAUGACCUCUUAAAGAAGAAGCCCCGGCCAACCUCGUGCCAGCAGCCGCGGUAAGACGAGGGGGGCUAGCGUUUUUCUUAAUGACUGGGCGUAAAGCGCUUGUAGGUUGUACAGCAUAUUUACAUUUUUGUAAAUAGAAGUUGGUAGGGAAAACUCAAACCGUACGGUUGAGAUUUCUACCAAGAGUCAUGUACUUGAGUGAUAAAGAAUAAGAGAGUGGAAUUUCUUGUGGAGGGGUUGAAUCCUCAGAGAUAAGAAGGAACACCAAAGGCGAAGGCAACUCUCUGGAUAUCACUGACGCUGAGUAUUGAGCGAAAGCAUGGGGAGCAAACAGGAUUAGAUACCCUGGUAGUCCAUGCCGUAAACGAUGAGAAUUCAUCCCUUUUUUCUGCAGAAAGUGCCCUUUCUGUUUUAGAAAAUGUGGAUCUAGCUAACGCGUUAAAUUCUCCGCCUGGGGAGUACUAUCGCAAGAUUGAAACUCAAAGGAAUUGACGGGGGCUUGCACAAGCGGUGGAGCAUGUGGUUUAAUUCGACACAACGCGCAAAACCUUACCAGUCUUUGAAUAAAAGUUUCGCUUCCUUUUGGUUACACAAAAUAGUUAUACUUUUACAGGUGCUGCAUGGCUGUCGUCAGCUCGUGUCGUGAGACGUAGGGUUUAGUCCCAAAACGAGCGCAACCCUUAUCCUAUGUUAAUUAUAAAUUCUUUAUAUUUAUUUUUCUUAGGAAACUGCCGAUUAUAAAUCGGAGGAAGGCGAGGAUGACGUCAAGUCCUCAUGGCCCUUAUAGGCUGGGCUACACAUGUGCUACAAUGGCAAGUACAAUGGGAAACAAUGAUGAAAAUCGGAGUCAAUCCAGAAACCUUGUCUUAGUUCGGAUUGUUCUCUGCAACUCGAGAACAUGAAGUUGGAAUCGCUAGUAAUCGCGGAUCAGCACGCCGCGGUGAAUCUGUACCCGGGCCUUGUACACACCGCCCGUCACACCCUGGAAAUCGUUUUUAUCCAAAGCAAAAAAAUUAAGAUUCUUCUUAUUUUUUAUUCUGUAAAAAAUAAGAAUUCGGACCCUUUUUACCAAGGUAAAAACUUUAACUGAGGUGAAGUCGUAACAAGGUAACGCUACGGGAACGUGGCGUUGAUAUAUAUCACUA